UACGUAGGUGGCAAGCGUUGCUCGGAAUCACUGGGCGUAAAGGGCGCGUAGGCGGGGAGGUAAGUCGGGUGUGAAAUCCCUCGGCCCAACCGAGGAACUGCGCCCGAGACUGCUUCUCUUGAGUCCCGGAGAGGAAGAUGGAAUUCCCGGUGUAGCGGUGAAAUGUGUAGAGAUCGGGAGGAACACCGGUGGCGAAGGCGGUCUUCUGGACGGUGACUGACGCUGAGGCGCGAAAGCGUGGGGAGCAAACGGG
rnacentral:rRNA from 1 species